AUGGGAUGCCUCAGCGGCGAGCUGAGGACUGAGCUAGUGGAGGAGGUGAAAUCAGAAGGCUUCUUGCCGUCCUGUCUGACGCUGAGAGCGGCAGCCUGCGUCCAACAGCGUCCGACCGCAGCCUGCGGGGGCUCUCGGGCCAGCGGACCCCGUCUCCACCGCGGCGCUCCUCGCCGGGCCGAGGCCGUUCGCCCCGCAGAGGCCCCUCCCCGGCCUGCUCAGAAGACUCCACGCUCGCUUGCCCUGAUUCUCUCCGCCCUGCACUUUUGCCAGCUGAAGGUCCAGAACAUGCGUGGGCGCUAUGAGGCAAGCCAGGACCUGCUGGGCACCCUGCGGAAGCAGCUUAGCGACAGCGAGAGUGAGCGGCGGGCCCUAGAGGAACACCUGCGUGGCGCCGUCGGUCUUGUCCCGGAGAAGAGCAACCUGGUCCACAGCCUGCAGGUGGCCCAGCAGCAGGCCGAGGAGCUGCCGCAGGAGCGGGAGAAGCUGCAGGUUGCCCAGGAGGAGCUGCAGCGCCAGCGGGACCGGCUGGAGGAAGAGCAGGAAGAGGCGGUGCAGAAUGGCGCACGGGUUCGCCGGGAGCUUGAGCGCAGCCAUAGACAACUAGAGCAGCUGGAAGGGAAGCGCUCAGUCCUGGCCAAGGAGCUGGUGGAGGUGAGGGAGGCGCUGAGCCGCGCCACGCUGCAACGGGACAUGCUGCAGGCCGAGAAGACCGAGGUGGCCGAGGCGCUGACCAAGGGUGAGGCUGGCCGCAUGGAGCUCGAGCUCUCCGUGACCAAGCUGAGGGCAGAGGAGGCCUCCCUGCAGGACUCCCUGUCCAAGCUGAGCGCCCUCAACGAGAGCCUUGCUCAGGACAAGUUGGAUCUGAACUGCCUUGUCACCCAGCUGGAGGAAGAAAAGGCCAUGCUGCAGGGCCGGCAGCGGCAGGCGGAGCAGGAGGCCACAGUGGCGCCGGCAGAGCAGGAGUGGCUGGAGGAGCUGUGGUUGGAGCAGGAGGUGGCACGGCAGGGCCUGGAGGGCUCCCUAUGAGUGGCGGAGCAGGCCCAGGAGGCGCUGGAGCAACAGCUCCCCACACUGCACCAUGAGCUCAGUUGGCUGCAGGAGCAGCUAGCACAGGAGGCAGCAUGGCGGGAGCUGGAGGCCGAGCGGGCCCAGCUGCAGAGUCAGCUGCAGCGUGAGCAGGAGGAGCUGCUGGCCCGGCGGAAGGCUGAGAAGGAACAGCUGAGUGAGGAGAUUGCUGCCCUGCAGCAGGAGCAUGACGAGGGCCUCCUCCUGGCCGAGAGCGAGAAGCAGCAGGCCUUGUCUCUGAAGGAGUCUGAGAAGAUGGCGCUGUCAGAGAAGUUGAUGGGUACACGGCACAGCCUGGCCACCAUCUCCCUGGAGAUGGAGCGGCAGAAACCAGAUGCCCAGAGCCGGCAGGAGCAGGACCGGGUAGGCCUGCCGUCGUAGGGAGGCUUGCGGAGCAGGAGCGCCCUCUCUCCACCGAGCUAUCCCGCGGUUUCCAGCAUCCCAUCUGGCGGACUCCUCUUCCUCUCUCUUCUCCUACUCUGGGUCUUCUAUCCUGGUGUUCCUUGAAUGCCUAUCUUCCUUUUGUGCCUCGGAACCUCUCACGCCUGCCACAAGUUACUCUUUUCCUUGGUAGUUCUGAACUUUAAAUAAGGUAAUGCCUGUAAGAAUGCCAUAAAUGCUCAAUAAUUGUCAUCUGUUAUUAUUUUCAUCAGUAACAUCAUCUGAAUCAUCAGUAUUGUCUGCUUUUAACAGCUGCAUUUUUCAUUGUCCAAAUAUAGUCACAUACAUUUGACCAUUUUAUAAUUAUUGAAUAAUAAAUUUGUUCUGCUAUUUUACAAUGAAAAAUAAUGCUGCAGAGAGCAUUUUUGCACAUGUAUCGUGGCAGAUGUAGGCCAGAGGCUCUUCUUUUAUCCAUCCUAUGGCCAACCUAUGAAUGUAUACACGUUUAAUGAGAUUUUGCCAGCAAUCAAAGCCUUCAGGGAAAAUGUCCCUAGCUCUUUACUACAUCAGAUCAAGGACUCUGGAUAAUUGGCAUAACAUCCUGGAAUAGCUGAAACAGAGAUAUUAUUCUCUGCUCUCCUCUGUUGUCUUUGUCUUUUCACGUCUUAAUAAAAGUGCUGGUGACAAGAGUGUAA